GGCUGGCAGUAGAGGUGGGCCACAUGAUUAAACUUCUAUAAUGGAAACUGUGGCUGAAAUAUGUCAGCUAGAUUGGGAGGCGGAAUGGAAACUAGGGCAAUCUGAGGGCAGAGAAAUCAAGGGAGGCUAUUUUUUCAGCCUAAACUUGAGGCUAUAGUGAUCAGUCUUACUGGCAAUCUGUUCACCUUUGUUUCUGCGGUACCAGAUACGCCUGCCCCCACAUAUGUAACGAUGUGGCCAAGCCAAUGAUAUGGACGAUGCAGAUCUUAAGUCUACUGGAGUUGGACAUAUCAGAACUGGUGGUAAUCAGUACUACAGAUCCUCAUGCAGGCUGUCUGGGUUUCCGUCUUAAGUUUGCUGCAGCUCUCCGGAAUGCCCACAUGAAUACCACAGGCUCUGGAAGGGA
ensembl:lncRNA